GAAGAUGCCGCUGAAUGGCCGGCAACUGGUCUUGAAAACCAGGGUAUAGCUAAUAACUAUAGGGGUUCGAUUCCUCCAUCUUCC
rnacentral:tRNA from 1 species